UGGGGAAUAUUGCACAAUGGAGGGAACUCUGAUGCAGCGACGCCGCGUGAACGAAGAAGGCUUUCGAGUCGUAAAGUUCUUUUAUAUGGGAAGAUAAUGACGGUACCAUAAGAAAAAGCCCCGGCUAACUACGUGCCAGCAGCCGCGGUAAUACGUAGGGGGCUAGCGUUGUCCGGAAUCACUGGGCGUAAAGGGUUCGCAGGCGGAAAUGCAAGUCAGGUGUAAAAGGCAGUAGCUUAACUACUGUAAGCAUUUGAAACUGCAUAUCUUGAGAGGAGUAGAGGUAAGUGGAAUUUUUAGUGUAGCGGUGAAAUGCGUAGAUAUUAAAAAAAAUACCGGUGGCGAAGGCGACUUACUGGGCUCAUUCUGACGCUGAGGAACGAAAGCGUGGGUAGCAAACAGG
rnacentral:rRNA from 1 species